rnacentral:misc_RNA from 1 species
CCACUAAUGCCAUGUUUCCAAAUUCUGUUAAAUUUCGUUUAUUUAUAAAAUCCUACGUAAAAAUAAAUUUUUAUUAGAAAAAUAAUAUUCCCUCCCACAAAAUAGUAAAAAUAUUAUAAUUCGAAGUUGACAUAAAAAGUUACUUACAUCAACUCCAUCUAGUGAUCUAUUCUGCGUUACAACAAACUUUUUUAUAAGUAUAAAUUCUUGUACAUUAUAAAUGCAUAUAUUUUUAGAAUGCCCCCCAGCUAAUAUGCACGUACCAUCAGCUGAAUAACAAAGAACAGUAAACGCCCUAAAAAUUUGAUUUAAUUAAGGUAAUUUUAAUUGUACCCAAAUUACUUUUAUUUCAUUAUGUAUGGUAUAUUCAUACUUUUAAAUAUACGUACUUGCCCUUAAGACUUUGCUUAGCUGUAACAAGAUCAGUAUCAGAUCUUCCACUGCCUAGAUCAUUUCUUCCUUCAAUACUACCAAUUUGUACCGCCGUUUUACAAUUGAAAAAUGAAAUUUGCCCAUCCAAAGUGGCAACUGCUACUUCUUCACCAUUUGGUUUGUAUGUAACAUAUAAACCAUCAGCAGUUAACUGUAUCGUUUCAUGUAAAGAACCACUUUCAAUUGCAUUCCAUAUUUUCAGUGUUUUGUCCCAAGAUACGGAUACUAAUUCCGUGCUUGUAACAUUUGGAUUAAAUGCCAAACUGGCGAUUGGACCUUCGUGUCCACUUAAUCUCCAAAAGUUUUCCCAGUUUGACGCUCCACAAAUAAAUUUCAAAAAAGUCUUGGCCUCCAGCUACAAGAAACUCAUCACUUGAAUCUAAAGCAACGCAGGAAAACUGUACGGGUCGAGGAGAGGUAAGAGUUCGAAAAUUUCUGUACCUCGCUAAAUCAUAUGCUCUAACAGUUCCGUCAAGCGAUGCAGAAACAAUAAAUUUUCUAUUAUGACUAAAUAUCACUCCUGUUAUCGUAGAUGUAUGUUCUUGAAAUGUAAUAGAACAAAAUCCAUUCAUAGUGUUCCAUAAUUUAACUUUCGCGUCAUCACCUCCGGUAACAAUGUAUUGGCCAUCAGGACUGUAUGCCAAACAGUUUAUAUUACUACUGUGGCUUUGUUGCUUCAUGGCAUAAGUUUCACUUUGCCAUUCCCAUACUAAUAAUUGACCAGCUGUAGAACAUCCUAAGGCUAUCCAAUCACCAGUUGAAUUUAUGGCAAUCGAUGUAAUAUAUUGGUCUGAUAUACUGAAAAAUGAAGAUUAUUAGAAAUAAAUUACAUUAAUGUUAAAAAGAUAUAAAUACUAUAUUAAAUAAUAUAACUAAUUAAACAAUACCUUAGAGAAUGUAUCAUAUUUACAUCAGGCAUUUCAUAUAAAUAAAAUGCACCAAUACUGAAUCCUACUACUAAGAUAUUAGUCUGUUGAUGAUAUGCAGCUGCAGUUAAUAUUAGUUUACCUUUCUUUUGGCUUUGAACUACAUCAGCUAGAUAAUGACGACCCAGUUUAUUAUAACGUAAUUGUUUGGUUUCUGUCUCAUUUUCAGAACCUUCUACAAUUGGUUCAGUUAAAUCUCCUGUGAAAUAUAAUCUGUAUUACAUAUCUUAUGUCCUUCUUUAAUUUAUUUGUACAUUAAAUACAAAAUUAUAAAAGAAAAAUUACUUGAUUUCAAUAAAUCGCGUUCAUGAGCUUUAAUCUGUUUGUCUGUUUUCUCUAUAGCUUUUUCAAUAUUAACAUCAUCUUCUUCAUCACUAUCUGUUCUUUUGCCUCUUUUAAUUGGAGGUACGUUGGAUGGCAUUAAAUCUUCUGGAUCAAUUGUACACUCCC